rnacentral:rRNA from 1 species
UACGUAGGGUGCAAGCGUUGUCCGGAAUUAUUGGGCGUAAAGAGCUCGUAGGCGGCUUGUCACGUCGGAUGUGAAAAUCCAGGGCUCAACCCUGGACCUGCAUUCGAUACGGGCAGGCUAGAAUUCGGUAGGGGGGACUGGAAUUCCUGGUGUAGCGGUGAAAUGCGCAGAUAUCAGGAGGAACACCGGUGGCGAAGGCGGGUCUCUGGGCCGAUACUGACGCUGAGGAGCGAAAGCGUGGGGAGCGAACAGG